rnacentral:lncRNA from 1 species
GGCAAAUAAUUGUAGAAAAAAGAAUGGUAAUCAAGUGCUGAAUCUUCUUUGGUGGGGGGAUAAAUUUUCUGUCUUGUAUGAUAAGGGAACAAGUCCAAAGCCAAAAGAGGGAUGACUCGAGUAUGCUUAUAAGGAAGGCUACAAGUGGGCCUGUAGGGGAGGCUACAUGUGGGUCAGGUGGAGUACAAGAGAGUGAUUGGGUCUUAUCAUGAUGGAGUUCAUGGUUUGGUGAUAUUCAUGGUGUUGUUCAUGAUUGAGAUAGUCAUGAUGAUAAUGUAUCUAUAAUGAUAAUCUUGGUAUUGAAGAU